AAUAUUGGACAAUGGGUGAGAGGCUGUUCUAGCCAUGCCGCGUGUGUUAAGUAGGUCUUCGGUUGGUAAAGCACUUUAUGGUGGGAGGAAGGGCAGGAAGCUAAUACCUUCCUGUUUUGACGUUACCGACAGUAUAAGCACCGGCUCACUUCGUUCCAGCAGCCGCGGUAAUACGAAGGUUUCAAGCGUUAAUCGGAAUUACUGGGCGUAAAGCGCGCGUAGGUGGUUUGUUAAGUUGGAAGUGAAAGCCCCGGGCUCAACCUGGGAACUGCUUUCAAAACUGGCAAGCUAGAGUAUGGCAGAGGGUGGUGGAAUUUCCUGUGUAGCGGUGAAAUGCGUAGAUAUAGGAAGGAACACCAGUGGCGAAGGCGACCACCUGGGCUAAUACUGACACUGAGGUGCGAAAGCGUGGGGAGCAAAC
rnacentral:rRNA from 1 species